rnacentral:rRNA from 1 species
GUGCACCAGGCGCGAAUACUUUACAAUGUGCGAAAGCACGAUAAGGGAACUCUGAGUGCCUCCUAAGGAGGCUGUUCAGGUGUCUAAAAAGCACCUGGAGUAAGGGCUGGGUAAGACCGGUGCCAGCCGCCGCGGUAACACCGGCAGCCCAGGUGGUAGCCACUUUUAUUGGGUCUAAAGCGUCCGUAGCCGGUUGAGUAAGUUCCUUGGGAAAUUUGGCUGCUCAACAGUCAAGCUUCCAGGGAAUACUGCUCGACUUGGGACUGGGAGGGGUCAGAGGUACUCCAGGGGUAGGGUGAAAUCCAUUAAUCCCUGGGGGACCACCGGUAGCGAAGGCGUCUGACCAGACCAGGUCCGACGGUGAGGGACGAAGGCUAGGGUCGCGAACCGGAUUAGAUACCCCC